AUCAGAGGUUUAGGCCCGGACCAUCAAUAGGGUUUUAGGCCCGGACAUCCAUCAGGGUUUAGGGCCCCGGACAUCCAAUCAGGGUUUAGGCCAGGACAUCCAAUCAGGGUUUGGCCCCGGCCAGCCAAUCAGGGUUUAGGCCCGGACACCAACAGGUAGGCCGGACAUCCAAUCAGGGUUUAGGCCCGGACAUCCAAUCAGGGUUUCUCCGACGUCCAAUCAGGGUUUAAGGGGUAAUAGGUUAGGCUCCCCGGUCCAAUCAGGGUUUAGGCCCGGACAUCCAAUCAGGGUUUAGGCCCGGACAUCCAAUCAGGGUUUAGGCUUGGGACAGCCAAUAUGGGUUUUUUAGUGUAUUGUGUAUUUAUUGUGUGUAUUGAAUGUGUAGGUAGGAUAUUGUUGUUAUAUGAAGUGUAGGUAUUGUGUAUAUGAAUGUGUAGGUUAUUGUGUAUAUGAAUGUGUAGGUUAUUGUGUAGAUGAGUCGUAGGUUAUUGUGUAUAUGAAUGUGUAGGUUAUUGUGUGAUAUAUGAAGUUGUGUAGGGUUAUUGUGUUAUGAAAGUGUAUGUUU
rnacentral:lncRNA from 1 species